rnacentral:tRNA from 1 species
GGUGGGAUGGCCGAGUGGUCGAAGGCGCGCGACUCGAAAUCGCGUAGACCCCAAAAGGGUCUCGAGGGUUCGAAUCCCUCUCCCACCGCCA